rnacentral:rRNA from 1 species
GACGAACGCUGGCGGCGUGCUUAACACAUGCAAGUCGAGCGGUAAGGCCCUUUCGGGGGUACACGAGCGGCGAACGGGUGAGUAACACGUGAGUAAUCUGCCCUUCACUUCGGGAUAACCAUCGGAAACGGUGGCUAAUACCGGAUAUGACUCGUCCCUGCAUGGGGGUGGUGGAAAGUUUUUUCGGUGGAGGAUGUGCUCGCGGCCUAUCAGCUUGUUGGUGAGGUAACGGCUCACCAAGGCUUCGACGGGUAGCCGGCCUGAGAGGGUGACCGGCCACACUGGGACUGAGACACGGCCCAGACUCCUACGGGAGGCAGCAGUGGGGGAAUAUUGGACAAUGGGCGGAAGCCUGAUCCAGCAACGCCGCGUGAGGGAUGACGGCCUUCGGGUUGUAAACCUCUUUCAGCUCCGACGAAGCGCCCGUGAGGGUGGUGACGGUAGGUGCAGAAGAAGGACCGGCCAACUACGUGCCAGCCGCCGCGGUAAU